CCACUUGGAUCAUUCGCGGUCGAGCGUUCCAAGUGAUCGGACGUCUUCGCUUCGAGUUGAUUAAAUUUUGGAGCCGAGUCCAAUCUAAUCAAAAGUGCAGUUCAGAACCUUAUUAUUUUGUGUUUGUACCGCUUCUCGCGUCACACAAGUGAAAGAAAAUAGAGAGUGAGGCGCUCUCUCUGUACUAACAACUGUCGCUCAUUUCUCUCGGUUGCCGUGUGUGUGUGCGUGUAUUUUUAGUCAGUGUCACUAGUUGUCAUUUCGCGGCGCCUAGAAAGUUAGUACUCGGGGUGGCAGAUCGUCGCGAAACGAAAACACAUCUCAGUAGUCGGUGGGCAGCAGCAGCAGCAGAAGCUAGUUUGGUGGAUCCGGUCCCGUGCGGUGUCCUGUGGCCUACUAGGAUCUUAAGGAUCUAAAGAAGAAGCCGAACCGUGUGUGUGUGAACGAGCGCGCGCGCGUGUGUGUGUUUGUCCGUCGUUGUGGUUCUAGCCUAUUUUGUCCGACGACCCAGCAUCCAAACCAAAACCAGCGAAGAUGUCGAAAUUCGCCUGGGUGACGCUAGCGACCAAUGAUUCGUACUCGCUGGGCGCCCUGGUCGUGGCGCACUCGCUCAAGCGGGUCCACACGGCACACCAGCUGGCCGUCCUGAUAACGCCCGGCGUGUCCGAGUCGAUGAAGAACAAACUGCGCACAGUGUUCAACCUGGUCGAGGAGGUCAACCUGCUCGACUCGAAGGACAAAAGCAACCUGGCCCUGCUGAAGCGUCCCGAGCUGGGCAUCACAUUCACAAAGCUGCACUGCUGGCGCCUCACGCAGUACGAGAAGUGCGUCUUCCUGGACGCGGACACCCUGGUCCUUCGGAACUGCGACGAGCUGUUCGAGCGGGAGGAACUGUCGGCCGCUCCGGACGUCGGUUGGCCCGACUGCUUCAACUCGGGCGUGUACGUGUACAAGCCGAACCUGGAAACGUUCAGCAGCCUGAUGGAGUACGCGGUGUCGCACGGCAGCUUCGACGGCGGCGACCAGGGCCUGCUCAACUCGUACUUUUCCGACUGGGCCCACAAGGACAUUGCAAAGCACUUGCCGUUCGUGUACAACACCUCGUCGGUGGCGUCCUACUCGUACCUUCCGGCAUUUAAGCAAUUCGGCCAAAACACCAAGAUCCUUCACUUUAUCGGCACGGCCAAACCGUGGCUGCAGAACUUCAACUCGGAGACGCGCAAGGUUUACAUCCCGGGCGGUUACCAGCAUCUGGCCAACUUCCUGCAGUUCUGGUGGGACAUCUUCUGCGAAGACGUCCACUCGCGCCUUAGCGCCGAUAUGAGCACAGAGCACUGGGUAGAAAACGUGCAAUCCCGUGACCAGCAGGGUCACUGGGAAAACCCGCCACAACCGGCACCACAAAUGCCGCCGACCUCCGACUGGCAGCCGGAGCACUACGCGGAACACCAUCACCACCAUCCAGCAGAGCAACAACAGCACCACGAUCAGUCACAGGGGGGAACUCAUACGGGGCAUGAGAGUGGCGUGAGUGCCGAUGGUGGUGGUGGUGGUGGCGGCGGCGGCGGCAAUGAGUUCCAUCAGCAGGAACAAAAGCAACAACAUCAAGAAUCACACCCACAACCAGAACAGCAACAUCAGGAUGGUGACGGGAGUGGCCUUGCCGGAGCGUUAUCUCAGCUGCACCUCGGUGAACCGAAAUCCAGCGAACAGGAAGCCUACGAGGAGCACAUGCGCCGCCAGUGCUGGGAAUCGGGCAACAUUGACUACAUGGGACGGGACUCGUUCGACAACAUCUGGCGUCGCAUCAAGCAAACCCUGGACGAAGCAGCAGCCGCGGCCGCUGCCAAGGAAUCGACCCCGCCAACCCCGGUCCGUGCCAUCAGUCCUGCUCCGAUGCGCUUCCGCCACUCGUCCAAGUCCCGCUCGCGGUCCACCACGCCCAAACGGGACAUGCGGGACCGGUCGCCCACUCCGCAGCCCGAGGACAACGUACCUGUCGAGAAGAAGGAAGUUCAAAUCGAGCCGGCAAUUCAGGAAGAGGACGACGGUCCAAGUGCGGCCGCCCAACUGGACGAGAGUGCCAAGCGUUCGAAACUGCCAGCGCCGCCGGUCCAGUACGAUCCGAAGACGAGUACGACUACACUGACCAAGAAAGUAUUUGCAGGUUACCAACAGGUCAUCACCACGAAAAGUCCCGAGGGUAAGACCCAUACGCAUACCAAAACCGUGUACGACCCCAGUGUUGACGAGGUCGACGCUCCGAUCAAAGUAACCUCCGCCCCCGUCGCGGAAACCGAACAGAAAGCCACGCCUCCUCCAGUGACGUCCACUUCUUCGUCGCCACCACCACGAGCCGAAGAAGUGCCGACGACCAAAUCGACUCCUCCACGAGUCUCAGCCUCUCCCAAACCUCAGAUGCCGCAGCCGCAGCAACAGCAGGUUGCCCAGGAAACGAUGGCAGGUAAAACUCCCGCAUCCACCGAACCGGUCAAAUUAAUCCGUCGCAAGCGUCUUUCGUCACCACAAGCCACGCCCCCCACAGCCACACCUCCAGUCACUCAUGCGUUGUCGUCGCCAUCUUUGCCUACUGCGCCGAAAACCGUGCUCACUAAGACCGCAACGGCUGUCAAAUCCCCACCAAAGACUUCUACCACUACAACUACAAGUGCUACUAAGCCUACUACGACGCCAUCAGUCGCCACUCAUCAUCACUCACUACCACCGGCGUUGUCCAGAACCCGUUCCGCAGAACCCGUUACGACCGCCGCUGCCAACACGGACGGAGCGGUCACUUCCGAAGCAGUGGCUCCGCCACCGGUUCCACCCCGUCGCAAGCGGGAAAGUAAAGUCACCCGAUUAGGUAAAGCCCACCAAUAAUACGUCAUUUCUUACACCACCACAACUACUACUUUACCGGCACUCGUUCAAAAGCAAACAAAAACUAUGUUUUAUUCGUUGGUCGAAAUUCUUCCGCACGUUCUGUACGAUACUGUGAAAGUGUGUCCCUCCAAACAAACAGUCAAAUAAACCGAUCCAACCAAUUCGAUGUUAUCCAACUAAUGAGCCUCCAAACAAAAAAAAAACCCACACCUGCACCAAAAGCAACUUUAUGUGUGUAUGUUAGUGUGGUGGUCGAUGAAGAGAGCGAAUGAGAUUGUUAAACAAAAUGGCCGCGUAAAGAGUGAGCAAGAUGGCGGUCCUGUAAUAUUUUUUUUUCAAGGCGAAGGUGCAUUUCGAGAAACGAGAUUAUUCUGUAUACUGUUUUUGUUUUUCGCGUCAAAUCGGCUGUUUUUGUUCCUCUUGAGUUUGUAAUAAAAUUUCGUUCUUAUUGUUUUCUGUCAGCAGUUGGAA